UGUCUGGGAAACUGCCUGAUGGAGGGGGAUAACUACUGGAAACGGUGGCUAAUACCGCAUAACGUCGCAAGACCAAAGAGGGGGACCUUCGGGCCUCUUGCCAUCAGAUGUGCCCAGAUGGGAUUAGCUUGUUGGUGAGGUAACGGCUCACCAAGGCGACGAUCCCUAGCUGGUCUGAGAGGAUGACCAGCCACACUGGAACUGAGACACGGUCCAGACUCCUACGGGAGGCAGCAGUGGGGAAUAUUGCACAAUGGGCGCAAGCCUGAUGCAGCCAUGCCGCGUGUAUGAAGAAGGCCUUCGGGUUGUAAAGUACUUUCAGCGGGGAGGAAGGUGUUGUGGUUAAUAACCGCAGCAAUUGACGUUACCCGCAGAAGAAGCACCGGCUAACUCCGUGCCAGCAGCCGCGGUAAUACGGAGGGUGCAAGCGUUAAUCGGAAUUACUGGGCGUAAAGCGCACGCAGGCGGUCUGUCAAGUCGGAUGUGAAAUCCCCGGGCUCAACCUGGGAACUGCAUUCGAAACUGGCAGGCUUGAGUCUUGUAGAGGGGGGUAGAAUUCCAGGUGUAGCGGUGAAAUGCGUAGAGAUCUGGAGGAAUACCGGUGGCGAAGGCGGCCCCCUGGACAAAGACUGACGCUCAGGUGCGAAAGCGUGGGGAGCAAACAGGAUUAGAUACCCUGGUAGUCCACGCCGUAAACGAUGUCUACUUGGAGGUUGUGCCCUUGAGGCGUGGCUUCCGGAGCUAACGCGUUAAGUAGACCGCCUGGGGAGUACGGCCGCAAGGUUAAAACUCAAAUGAAUUGACGGGGGCCCGCACAAGCGGUGGAGCAUGUGGUUUAAUUCGAUGCAACGCGAAGAACCUUACCUGGUCUUGACAUCCACAGAACUUUCCAGAGAUGGAUUGGUGCCUUCGGGAACUGUGAGACAGGUGCUGCAUGGCUGUCGUCAGCUCGUGUUGUGAAAUGUUGGGUUAAGUCCCGCAACGAGCGCAACCCUUAUCCUUUGUUGCCAGCGGUCCGGCCGGGAACUCAAAGGAGACUGCCAGUGAUAAACUGGAGGAAGGUGGGGAUGACGUCAAGUCAUCAUGGCCCUUACGACCAGGGCUACACACGUGCUACAAUGGCGCAUACAAAGAGAAGCGACCUCGCGAGAGCAAGCGGACCUCAUAAAGUGCGUCGUAGUCCGGAUUGGAGUCUGCAACUCGACUCCAUGAAGUCGGAAUCGCUAGUAAUCGUGGAUCAGAAUGCCACGGUGAAUACGUUCCCGGGCCUUGUACACACCGCCCGUCACACCAUGGGAGUGGGUUGCAAAAGAAGUAGGUAGCUUAACCUUCGGGGGGGCGCUUACCACUUUGUGAUUCAUGACUGGGGUGAAGUCGUAACAAGGUAACCGUAGGGGAACCUGCGGUUG
rnacentral:rRNA from 1 species